CCUACGGGAGGCAGCAGUGAGGAAUAUUGGUCAAUGGACGAGAGUCUGAACCAGCCAAGUAGCGUGAAGGAUAACUGCCCUAUGGGUUGUAAACUUCUUUUAUAUGGGAAUAAAACGUUCCACGUGUGGGAUUUUGUAUGUACCAUAUGAAUAAGGAUCGGCUAACUCCGUGCCAGCAGCCGCGGUAAUACGGAGGAUCCGAGCGUUAUCCGGAUUUAUUGGGUUUAAAGGGAGCGUAGGUGGAUUGUUAAGUCAGUUGUGAAAGUUUGCGGCUCAACCGUAAAAUUGCAGUUGAAACUGGCAGUCUUGAGUACAGUAGAGGUGGGCGGAAUUCGUGGUGUAGCGGUGAAAUGCUUAGAGAUCACGAAGAACUCCGAUUGCGAAGGCAGUUCACUGGACUGCAACUGACACUGAGGCGCGAAAGUGUGGGUAUCAAACAGGAUUAGAUACCCCUGUAGUC
rnacentral:rRNA from 1 species